UACGGAGGGUGCAAGCGUUAUCCGGAUUCACUGGGUUUAAAGGGUGCGUAGGAGGGCAGGUAAGUCAGCGGUGAAAUCUCUGGGCUUAACCCGGAAACUGCCAUUGAUACUAUCUGUCUUGAAUAUGGUGGAGGUGAGCGGAAUAUGUCAUGUAGCGGUGAAAUGCUUAGAUAUGACAUAGAACACCGAUUGCGAAGGCAGCUCGCUACGCCUAUAUUGACUCUGAGGCACGAAAGCGUGGGGAUCGAAACAGG
rnacentral:rRNA from 1 species